GUACUGUAUACUCCUUCCGUCUCAAAAUAAAUACACCGUUCGUUUUAUUUAAAAAUUUUUUAUGAUUAGUAUUUUUAUUGUUAUUAGAAGAUAAAACGUGAAUAGUACUUUAUGUGUGACUAAAUAUUUUUAAAUUUUUCAUAAUUUUUUUAAAUAAGACGGACGGUCAAACGUUCACGGCUGCACUUAUU
rnacentral:pre_miRNA from 1 species